UACGUAGGUGACAAGCGUUGUCCGGAUUUACUGGGCGUAAAGAGCGCGCAGGCGGUCGUUCAAGUCGAGUGUGAAAGCCCCCGGCUCAACUGGGGAGGGUCAUUCGAUACUGAUCGACUCGAAGGCAGGAGAGGGUAGUGGAAUUCCCGGUGUAGUGGUGAAAUGCGUAGAUAUCGGGAGGAACACCAGUGGCGAAGGCGGUUUUCUAGCUUAGACCUGACGCUGAGGCGCGAAAGCAAGGGGAUCAAACAGG
rnacentral:rRNA from 1 species